rnacentral:rRNA from 1 species
AUUGAACGCUGGCGGCAUGCCUUACACAUGCAAGUCGAACGGCAGCACGGGGCAACCUGGUGGCGAGUGGCGAACGGGUGAGUAAUGUAUCGGAACGUUCCAUUGAGUGGGGGAUAACGUAGCGAAAGUUACGCUAAUACCGCAUAUACCCUGAGGGGGAAAGCAGGGGAUCGCAAGACCUUGUGCUCUUUGAGCGGCCGAUAUCAGAUUGGCUAGUUGGUGAGGUAAAGGCUCACCAAGGGGACGAUCUGUAGCGGGUCUGAGAGGAUGAUCCGCCACACUGGGACUGAGACACGGCCCAGACUCCUACGGGAGGCAGCAGUGGGGAAUUUUGGACAAUGGGCGCAAGCCUGAUCCAGCCAUGCCGCGUGAGUGAAGAAGGCCUUCGGGUUGUAAAGCUCUUUCGGCCGGGAAGAAAUCGUACAGGUUAAUACCCUGUGUGGAUGACGGUACCGGAAUAAGAAGCACCGGCUAACUACGUGCCAGCAGCCGCCGUAACAC